ACAGAAAUCACCUGGGGAUCUUGUUAAAAUGCAGAUUUGGAUGUAAUAGGUUUUGGCUCAGAUUCUGUAAUUUUAACAAGCUCCCAGGAGAUGCUGAU
rnacentral:pre_miRNA from 1 species